UUUCCUUUGGUCCCUCAUUCAAGGAGGUUUGUGAGGAGGGCAGAGUCCCAAAUCUAUUUAAUACAUUGAGGUAUUGAAUAAUGAAAAGUAUUUCAUUUUAUCUUAUAAAAUAUAAUAUCUUCACAACCUGAUUGAAUGAGCGGUCAAGUAUCAAAUUAAAUCAUCCUACGUUCAUCACGCAAUAUAAAUCGUUAUUUUCUUCACGAUUGAAGACAGAUCCGUCCAGUUCAGUUCUAAAAAUCAGUCCUAAAACUUAUAAGGCUCAAUAUUUUGAUGGCGCUGUUCAACUGUAUUUUUCUAGUCAGUUCUAGUACUAAAAGUCCUAUGAAGCGGUCCCGGGACUGAUAAGACCGGUCCUAAGACUGGACAUGACCGAAUAAAUAAGGAUUGACACAAACUAGGUUUUGUUAAGAGUGUGAA
rnacentral:lncRNA from 1 species